rnacentral:lncRNA from 1 species
AGAGGGAGAGAAGAGGACGGGAGGAGGCAGGGAGAGAAGGGGAGGGGCUCAGGCCGGGAGCAGGGAGGGGAGGGAGUGAGGGAGAGGCAGGCAGCUGGGACUGAGGAGGUGCGCAGCCGGCGAGGAGGGGGGAGAGGCAGGGAGGGGAGUGGUGCGGGGUCAGGAGGGGGGAGAGGCAGGGAGCAGGGAGGGGAGUGGGUGCGGGGCCAGGAGGGGGAGGAGAGGGUGCGGGGCCAGGAGGGGGAGGAGCGUGCUCCAGGAAACCCAGAGGGGAGGGGGGGAAGGGCGAGCAGACCCCCCCCCCCGGGCGGGGCCGCUGGGCUCGCCCGCCUUCCCGCGCAGGACACCUGUCGCCGGGCCCACCUGGGCGGUGACCCGGGGCGGCCGCCCGCUCACACCGUCGGAGCCGCGUGGCGUCCCCACGCGAGGCUCGGGCGGGCUCCCCCCGCGGACGCCGGGCCUCACCUGCCCACAGCCCCCCGGCGCCUCACCUGCGCUCCGCGGCCGACCCGCCUCACCUGGCCCCGCCCCGGAAGUGGCCCCCGCCCCGCGCCCGCCCGCCCCUCGCCCCGCCCCGGCCCGCGCGGCGCUGCGGUUCUGGGGCUCGGACGCCCGGGUCGGCGGAGGUCGCGGCGGGGCUGGGACCGGCCGCACAGAUGAGGAAGGUUGGUGCACUGGACUCACCAGGCCAUCCUGUGACCACAAAGUGGUCUAAACAGAGAUGACAAGGAACCAGGUCCUCCAGAACCCCCGGAUCAAACCUGCCCCAAAGCCUGCCCUACUUCUGGACUUUUUAGUUUGAUGCACCAAUAAAGUCUCUCGUUUAAACUAGUUCACAGUUUUUUAUUCCUUGCAACCCAAAGCAUCCUCUGAUAACACACCCUUAUACUGUGUUACCAAAUUGUGGAGUUUCUCUCCUGACACUAGCAGAAAAAAAUUGAAAUUUAAAUUUACAUAAAAAAAAAAGCAAAAAAAACAGAGAAGGCCUCUGACUGGCUGAGUCUGAGACACAUAACCUUUCCAGGGGCAGGAAGGGAGUUAGACCAGGGCCUUAUCCUCCCCAAAGUCAAAAGACAGUCUGCUUCCCGCCGGUUUUGCUAAUGAUAACCAUGAAAUACAUGAAUAUGGAUUAGUGUGGACAGGACCAGUGCCCGGCACGAAACGUUGGCUGUUUCCAUUCUGUGGCAGGCCGGGGCUGCGAGGCCGUUUGCUCCCGGCUGGACUCAGAGCUGGCGCCAACCCCAAUCAACGUGGAUGAAAGGAUGACCCCCCGUUUCCUGUUACCAUUGAAAGAAGAUUCCCACGGCCUCUGUGCUAACCUCGGGUGGUACCUUCUAAGUUCUUUCCCAUGUAUCUCUCACUCUCUCUCUGUCUUUUUUUAAGAUUUUAUUUAUUCAUGAGAAACACAGAGAAAGAGGCAGAGACACAGGCGGAGGGAGGAGCAGGCUCCUCACUAUGAGCCCGAUGCGGGACUCGAUCCCAGGACCCUGGGAUCACGCCCUGGGCCAAAGGCAGACGCUCAACGGCUGAGCCCCCCAGGCGUCCCUCCCGUGUAUCUCUUAACUCAGGUGAAAGACCCUGCAGGCAGAGCAUCCCCUGUUGGGAACCAGAACUACCCCCUCAAGCAAUAGGCCUGCCCUGAGCCAGCAAGUCCCCAGGUGACUGAGCCCACGACAAUGACGACCUGACCCUUACCGCCCACCUGUUCCAACCCACUGACCUUUGUCCCACAUUUUCCAGGUAUAAACCUGGAUGUCUUUUUAGCU